GUGCUGGAAGGUUAAAAGGAGGACUUAGCUUCGGCGAAGGUCUUAAUUGAAGCCCCAGUGAACGGCGGCCGUAACUAUAACGGUCCUAAGGUAGCGAAAUUCCUUGUCGGGUAAGUUCCGACCCGCAUGAAAGGCGUAAUGAUUUGGGCGCUGUCUCAACAAUAGACUCGGUGAAAUUUAAAUUCCAGUGAAGAUGCUGGGUACCCGCGACAGGACGGAAAGACCCCGUGGAGCUUUACUGUAGCUUGAUAUUGAAUGUUUGUGCUGCAUGUGCAGGAUAGGUAGGAGACUUUGAAGUCGGAACGCUAGUUUCGAUUGAGUCACCCUUGAGAUACUACCUCUGUUGUAUGAACGUUCUAACUCUGAUCAGUUAUCCUGAUCGAAGACAGUGUCUGGCAGGCAGUUUGACUGGGGCGGUCGCCUCCUAAAAGAUAACGGAGGCGCUCAAAGGUUUGCUCAGAAUGGUUGGAAAUCAUUCGUAGCGUGUAAAGGCAUAAGCAAGCUUGACUGUGAGACUGACAAGUCGAGCAGGUACGAAAGUAGGACUUAGUGAUCCGGUGGUUCCGUAUGGAAGGGCCAUCGCUCAACGGACAAAAGCUACCCCGGGGAUAACAGGCUCAUCUCCCCCAAGAGUCCACAUCGACGGGGAGGUUUGGCACCUCGAUGUCGGCUCAUCGCAUCCUGGGGCUGUAGUCGGUCCCAAGGGUUGGGCUGUUCGCCCAUUAAAGCGGUACGCGAGCUGGGUUCAGAACGUCGUGAGACAGUUCGGUCCCUAUCCGUCGUGGGCGCAGGAAAUUUGAGAGGAUCUGUCCUUAGUACGAGAGGACCGGGAUGGACAUACCUCUGGUGUACCAGUUGUUCUGCCAAGAGCACCGCUGGGUAGCUACGUAUGGAUUAGAUAAUCGCUGAAAGCAUCUAAGUGAGAAACUAACCUCGAGAUGAGAUUUCCCAUUCGUCAGAAGUAAGACCCCUGAGAGACGAUCAGGUAGAUAGGCUAGAAGUGGAAGUGUAGUGAUGCAUGGAGCGGACUAGUACUAAUAGGUCGAGGACUUAACCAAG
rnacentral:rRNA from 1 species